rnacentral:rRNA from 1 species
AUACGUAGGGGCGAGCGUUGUCCGGAAUGAUUGGGCGUAAAGGGCGCGUAGGCGGCCCGGUAAGUCUGGAGUGAAAGUCCUGUUUUUAAGAUGGGAAUUGCUUUGGAUACUGUCGGGCUUGAGUGGAGGAGAGGUAAGUGGAAUUCCCAGUGUAGCGGUGAAAUGCGUAGAGAUUGGGAGGAACACCAGUGGCGAAGGCGACUUACUGGACUGUAACUGACGCUGAGGCGCGAAAGUGUGGGGAGCAAACAGGAUUAGAUACCCUGGUAGUCCACACUGUAAACGAGGAAUGCUAGGUGUAGGGGGUAUCGACCCCUUCUGUGCCGCAGUCAACACAAUAAGCAUUCCGCCUGGGGAGUACGGCCGCAAGGUUGAAACUCAAAGGAAUUGACGGGG